UGAACCUCCACCGCAAACCCAUCUUAAUAAACUCAAUACAUUGAGUAACUCGUUCUACUGAUUUGUGCCGAUUACAGGACCCACCAUUGUGAAAUGCUAAAAUAACUAAACUGGUUGUCACUGGAAUCCAGACGCACCCUUCAUCUUUCCAGUCUUGUGUUUAAGAGCUUUUCUGGGAAGCUCCCACCCUACCUGAGCAGAAUGCUCUCCUCGGCUGUUCCCACCUCCUAUAACCUCUGAUCCAGUGCCAGCACUUUAUUUAGUCUACCUCAAUACAAAAAGAAAGCAGCUCGAU